rnacentral:rRNA from 1 species
GGGGAAUUUUGGACAAUGGGGGCAACCCUGAUCCAGCCAUGCCGCGUGAGUGAAGAAGGCCUUCGGGUUGUAAAGCUCUUUCGCGAGGGAAGAAAUUGCACCGGAUAAUACCUGGUGUAGAUGACGGUACCUUGAUAAGAAGCACCGGCUAACUACGUGCCAGCAGCCGCGGUAAUACGUAGGGUGCGAGCGUUAAUCGGAAUUACUGGGCGUAAAGCGUGCGCAGGCGGUUUCGUAAGACAGGCGUGAAAUCCCCGGGCUUAACCUGGGAACUGCGCUUGUGACUGCGAGGCUAGAGUACGGCAGAGGGAGGUAGAAUUCCACGUGUAGCAGUGAAAUGCGUAGAGAUGUGGAGGAAUACCGAUGGCGAAGGCAGCCUCCUGGGCCAGUACUGACGCUCAUGCACGAAAGCGUGGGGAGCAAAC